GUCCGCUCGCACGAGUGCAAACAGGAGGGCUAUGAGCUCUGUCACGAAGGACAGGUGAUCACCAUCUUCUCAGCCUCCAACUACUAUGAAGAGGGCAGCAACCGGGGUGCCUACAUCAAAGUGGGCAGAGAGCUGGUUCCCCGCUUCUACCAGUACCAAG